CCGUGCGCAGCGCCCCCAGGUGCCCGGCCGGCCCGACGGGUCGUCCGGGAGAAUAGGGAACCGCGUGGGAAUCGCGGACGGGACCGCCGCUGUGAGCGUCCCGGGUCCUCAUCGGCGUGAGCCGGCCACCGUCCGUCGGGAAGGUCGAGGGCCCGUCGGGGCAACCGCCCCGGGGCGCGAGUCAGAAGACCUGCCUGGGAACCGUUCCGCGU
rnacentral:ncRNA from 2 species